UCCAGGUCAGAUCAUGAGAUAAAGUUUAUAUUGUCAUCUAUCUUUGUUUUUCAGUCUCUGAAAUCAUGUGAUCAUUUGUGCUUAAACUAGUUUCCUUUAAUGAACAUUGUGUGUGAUUUCAGUACAGCAGAUCCAAAUGGAAAUAUUUCAGGAAGAUCGUGUCAUUUGUGCGUUCUCUCAUGAUCAUUGUGAAAAUACCUUACGCCCCCUGAGAAACAGUUACUGUCCGAAUAGUUUUUAAUAAUUAGUUUAUCAUUGUUAGUUAAUCGUGUCCUCUCAGUGUAGCGAAUGAAGAGCUCUUCAAACCCGUGAAACAUCUGUCAGUCUGUGUGCUGCUCCACAAACCUUCUGCUUCGACUCGCUUUGACCUGCAGAACAAACACACAAACUACUGUCAGUAACUGCUGCCUGUCAAGAUUUCAUCAAACAAUGGAACAAAACAUCAGCUUCAACGGAACAACUGGAGUAUAUAAUGACACUGAAAGGAGGAUUCGUUUUCCAUUAUAUUUACGGAUCAUUUCAGUCAUUGAGAUUCCAGUCAUGAUCUUAACUCUGGUGGCGUUGUGUGCUCUUAUCAAAUCUCAGCGCUCUGCUCCACUUUUUGUUAUUCAUUUGAUUCUUUCAGAUCUCAUUCAGAUCAUUUGUAAGUUAAUGAUAACAAGCGAAUGGAUACGUGAAGUUGCAAUCGUGUACAAAUUGAAAAGUGCAAAUUUGUAUAGUUUGAUGGUUGGUCUGUAUUUCAUGGCUUGUGUUGCUUUUGAACGAUAUCUUCUGGUUUCUCAUCCAAUCUGGUACAAAUCUCAUCAUUCACUAAAAGUCUCCUGUGUUAUUUCUGUGAUCGUCUGGUUUGUUCCUCUGAUCUUUGUAGGCCUAGCCGUCUGUUUGCAGGAUUUUACCGGUCUGCCCCUAUCGAUCGGCUGUUUGAUCCCCUACCUGAUAAUCAUUCUGUGUUUUGUUGGUACUUGUCGCGGUCUUUCACACGCAAUAUCUCUUACUUCUCUAAAGCGACAAUUAAUUUUGGGCAGAUUGUUCCUGGUGCUGCUGACUUACACAUUUCUCAUUCUCCCCUAUGUAAUCACGGGUUUUAUUGAAGAGAUUUUUCCCAAGUUGAAGGACAGUUUAUUAUUUAAAGUUUUAGAUUUUCUUAGUCAACUCAUUUUUCUGAACCCAAUCGCUGACUGUUUGCUGUACUUGUUCAUGAGGCCUGAUGCUGGUGAUUUAAUGAAGUCUGUUUGCUGCUGUUGUAGAACUGACACACAUCAGAAUUCGAGACAGCCGGGACGAACACUUUUGAGACAGUAGAGCCACGUUUGCCUGCUGUGUUUCCGUGCAAAAUCCUGCGUCUCAUUCACAGACCGCCUGCAGUUCAGUUUAAACUGAUGAAAUAGAGCUGAACUGAAGAAAUGAAGACAGUGUCAUUCUGUGAAAUACAGCUUUAUUAGAGAAACUCUUGAUUCAGAAAGCUCAAAAUCCAAUUGCACAGUUUGCUGUCCACAGAAUAUAUACAGUAAACAGAUUUUUAUUAAAAGAUGUAUUGAUGAACUCCACACACGAGCAGGUUUCAGUGUGAACACUGAUUCAGCAUCAGUUCUGAUCACUACAUCAGUGCAGACGCACACAUGCACACAAACACCUUUUAUUCUGACUUCAUUUCUGACUGACAGAUGAACAACAUCAAGUAGUUUAGUGUCAUAUUCCUGCUUGUCAGCUAGUGUUCAUAAUGCAUGUACAUUUAUCAUACUCUUUUUAGCAAAUAAUUACUAUUCACGCUAUUAAAAUGAAAAAUGACAAUUUACUUGCCUUCAUGUUGAUCAAAAGCUGAAUAACUUUCUUUCUUCUGUGGAACAUAAAAGACAAUAUUUUGAGAUUUUUUUUGUCCAUACAAAGUCGUAUAACAAGAAGGCUUUAAAAACAGUAGAAACAUGCAUAAUAAAAGUCUUUUAAUCUUUUCAUUUGAUAUGUGAUCUAUUCUGACUAGAUAUAUACUGCUGUCUUUCUUUCUUUUGUAUUUAUUCUGUACUAUAAUUUCUUCUUUCUGUGUUUAUUUCAAAUGGAGACAGAAAAUGAGAGCAUUGGAGUGAAGAAGAGAGCGUUUCAUUCUUACCUUACCUUAAGAGGGCAAUCUGAGGGUGGGAUCUGUAAUAUAUAUAAUUACUUUAGAACUUAUUAAUUCCAUGGCAAUGCAUCAUGCAGCCACACUGUAUCACUGAUGUAUGUAUCACUUUUAUUUUGUUUUGUUUUUUAUUCAAAAUAUUCACAAAUUUGUAUCAUGAAGUAUAUAUUUGUGAUUGUCAAA